AACGCAACUUGCGCUCUCUGGUAUUCCGGGGAGCAUGCCUGUUUGAGAAUCGCAAAGCAACACAAAUCAUAUUUUUUGUUUCGGCAAAGAAUGUGGAGUUGAGCCUUUUUUUUUCUUUCCCAGCCUAACUUUUGCUUCUUAGGAGGUAGAGUUUUUUUUGGGGGGGAUGGCUUGAAAUACAGAAGGACGGGGCCUUGGGUAAAACCAGGCUUCCAUCAGGUCAAACAAUUUCAAUACUUGAGCAAAAUAAUAGUUAAUGCGUUUUUCCCUUCGCGGAAAAAAGCGUUAUUCUUUUUUGCUCGGUAGUCUGAUCUGGGCCGGGAAAUUUGAUUUUUUCAGGCGUCCUCACACUCUUUCGGGAGGAAACAUCGAUUCUCGACGAAGUCCCUCGUAAAAAAAGGGCUUCCGACCUCUUAGAUCUCAAAUCAGGCAAGAGUACCCGCUGAACUUAA
rnacentral:misc_RNA from 1 species